rnacentral:rRNA from 1 species
UCCCAGACUCCUACGGGAGGCAGCAGUGGGGAAUAUUGCACAAUGGGGGGAACCCUGAUGCAGCGACGCCGCGUGGGUGAAGGAGCACCUCGGUGCGUAAAGCCCUAUCGGCAGGGAAGAAAAGCGAACAGGUUCGCCUGGACGGUACCUGACUAAGAAGCCCCGGCUAACUACGUGCCAGCAGCCGCGGGAAUACGUAGGGGGCAAGCGUUAUCCGGAUUCACUGGGUGUAAAGGGAGCGUAGACGGCGACGCAAGUCUGGAGUGAAAGCCCGGGGCUCAACCCCGGGACUGCAUUUGAAACUGUCAGGCUGGAGUGCAGGAGAGGUAAGUGGAAUUCCUAGUGUAGCGGUGAAAUGCGUAGAUAUUAGGAGGAACACCAGUGGCGAAGGCGGCUUACUGGACUGUAACUGACGUUGAGGCUCGAAAGCGUGGGGAGCAAACAGGAUUAGAUACCCGGGUAU